rnacentral:rRNA from 1 species
GUGACUCUCGGCAACGGAUAUCUCGGCUCUCGCAUCGAUGAAGAACGUAGCGAAAUGCGAUACUUGGUGUGAAUUGCAGAAUCCCGUGAACCAUCGAGUUUUUGAACGCAAGUUGCGCCCGAAGCCGUUAGGCUAAGGGCACGUUUGCCUGGGCGUCGUA